GACGAACGCUGGCGGCGUGCUUAACACAUGCCAGUCGAACGGAAAGGCCCUGCUUUUGUGGUGUGCUCGAGUGGCGAACGGGUGAGUAACACGUGAGUAACCUGCCCUUGACUUUGGGAUAACUUCAGGAAACUGGGGCUAAUACCGGAUAGGAGCUCCUGCUGCAUGGUGGGGGUUGGAAAGUUUCGGCGGGUGGGGAUGGACUCGCGGCUUAUCAGCUUGUUGGUGGGGUAGUGGCUUACCAAGGCUUUGACGGGUAGCCGGCCUGAGAGGGUGACCGGGCACCUUGGGCCUGAGAUAGGGACCAGAGUGCAAUGGGAGGCAGUAGUGGGGAAUAUUGCCCAAUGGGACCAAGCCUGAUGCAGCAACGUCCGGUGUGGGAAGACCGCCUUUUGGGUGUAAACCGCUUUCGCCUGUGACGAAGCGUGAGUGACGGUAAUGGGUAAAGAAGCACCGGCUAACUACGUG
rnacentral:rRNA from 1 species